AGAGUUUGAUCCUGGCUCAGGAUGAACGCUAGCGGCAGGCUUAACACAUGCAAGUCGAGGGGCAGCGGGGAGGAAGCUUGCUUUCUCCGCCGGCGACCGGCGCACGGGGUGAGUAACACGUAUGCAACCUGCCCCUGUCAGGGGGGACAACCCGCCGAAAGGCGGGCUAAACCCGCGUACAUGCCACCGGGGCAUCCCGGAGGCAGGAAAGGCUUCGGCCGGACAGGGAUGGGCAUGCGGCGCAUUAGGCAGUAGGCGGGGUAACGGCCCACCUAACCGACGAUGCGUAGGGGUUCUGAGAGGAAGGUCCCCCACACUGGUACUGAGACACGGACCAGACUCCUACGGGAGGCAGCAGUGAGGAAUAUUGGUCAAUGGUCGGGAGACUGAACCAGCCAAGCCGCGUGAGGGAGGAAGGUACAGAGUAUCGUAAACCUCUUUUGUCAGGGAACAAAGGCGGGGACGUGUCCCCGGAUGAGUGUACCUGAAGAAAAAGCAUCGGCUAACUCCGUGCCAGCAGCCGCGGUAAUACGGAGGAUGCGAGCGUUAUCCGGAUUUAUUGGGUUUAAAGGGUGCGCAGGCGGUCUGUUAAGUCAGCGGUCAAAGCCCGGGGCUCAACCCCGGCCCGCCGUUGAAACUGGCAGUCUCGAGUUGGAGAGAAGUAUGCGGAAUGCGCGGUGUAGCGGUGAAAUGCAUAGAUAUCGCGCAGAACUCCGAUUGCGAAGGCAGCAUGCCGGCUCCACACUGACGCUGAGGCACGAAAGCGUGGGUAUCGAACAGGAUUAGAUACCCUGGUAGUCCACGCAGUAAACGAUGAAUGCUGGCUGUCCGGGGGGAUUGACCCCUGGGUGGCGAAGCGAAAGCGAUAAGCAUUCCACCUGGGGAGUACGCCGGCAACGGUGAAACUCAAAGGAAUUGACGGGGGCCCGCACAAGCGGAGGAACAUGUGGUUUAAUUCGAUGAUACGCGAGGAACCUUACCCGGGCUCAAACGUAGAAUGACAGACGGUGAAAGCCGUUCUCCCUUCGGGGCAGUCUACGAGGUGCUGCAUGGUUGUCGUCAGCUCGUGCCGUGAGGUGUCGGCUUAAGUGCCAUAACGAGCGCAACCCCCAUCUACAGUUGCUAACAGGUAAAGCUGAGGACUCUGUGGAGACUGCCGGCGCAAGCUGUGAGGAAGGCGGGGAUGACGUCAAAUCAGCACGGCCCUUACGUCCGGGGCGACACACGUGUUACAAUGGCAGGUACAGCGGGAAGCCAUAUGGCGACAUAGAGCGGAACCCGAAAACCUGUCUCAGUUCGGAUUGGAGUCUGCAACUCGACUCCAUGAAGCUGGAUUCGCUAGUAAUCGCGCAUCAGCUACGGCGCGGUGAAUACGUUCCCGGGCCUUGCACACACCGCCCGUCAAG
rnacentral:rRNA from 1 species